AUCCCGCCGGAGGCGACCGCUGUGGGAGUCCGAUUAAGCCAUGCGAGUCGAGAGAAUAAGAUUCUCGGCAUACCGCUCAGUAACACGUGGAUAACUGCCCUGUGCUGGGGGAUAACCUCGCGAAAGUGAGAACAAUACCCCAUGGGUCACUAUGCCUGGAACGGUUAGUGGCUGAAAGCUCCGGCGGCACAGGAUGGGUCUGCGGCGUAUCAGGUCGUAGGGGGUGUAACGUACCUCCUAGCCUUCGACGCGUACGGGUUGUGAGAGCAAUUGCCCGGAGAUGGAUUCUGAGACACGAAUCCAGGCCCUACGGGGCGCAGCAGGCGCGAAAACUUGACAAUGCGAGAAAUCGUGAUCAGGGGACUCCAGUUGGCUGGAUCAAAAGUCCAGUCUGAACCGACUUUAAAUCGGUCGGGUAAUAGGGGCGGGAAAGACCGGUGCCAGCCGCCGCGGUAAUACCGGCGCCCCAAGUGGUCGUCACUAUUAUUGGGCCUAAAACGUCCGUAGCCGGUUUGGUAAAUCCGUGGGUAAAUCAGACAGCCCAACUGUCUGAAUUCUGCGGGGACUGCCAGACUUGAGACCGGGAGAGGUGCGGGGUACUUGCGGGGUACCGGUAAAAUGGGAUCAUCCCGUAGAGACCACCUGUUGCGAAGGCGCCGCACUAGAACGGAUCUGACGGUCAGGGACGAAGCCUAGGGGCACGAACCGGAUUAGAUACCCGGGUAGUCCUAGGUGUAAACGCUGUGGACUUGGUGUCGGGGACCUUCUGAGGGUUUCCGGUGCCGGAGUGAAGAUGUUAAGUCCACUGCCUGGGAAGUACGUACGCAAGUAUGAAACUUAAAGGAAUUGGCGGGGAGCACCACAAGGGGUGAAGCCUGCGGUUCA
rnacentral:rRNA from 1 species